rnacentral:snoRNA from 1 species
AAGUCCUUGGUGAGGGCACCUUCUUAGUAAGUCCUUGUAUCUCUCCCAUGCAUCAUAAAGUGUUUCUAAAUUCAUCUGCAUAAAAGAAGAGAUAUCAUUACGUAACUU